rnacentral:rRNA from 1 species
AGAGUUUGAUCAUGGCUCAGAACGUACGCUGGCGGCACGCCUAACACAUGCAAGUCGAACGAAGUAGCAAUACUUAGUGGCAGACGGGUGAGUAACAUGUAGGUAUCUGCCCUUUGGCCUGGAAUAACACGAGGAAACUUGUGCUAAUACCGGAUAAGUCUUUACGGAGAAAGCUUUAUGCACCAUUGGAUGAGCCUGCACUUGAUUAGUUUGUUGGUGGGGUAAUGGCCUACCAAGACUGUGAUCAAUAGCUGAUUUGAGAGGAUGAUCAGUCACAUUGGGACUGAGACACGGCCCAAACUCCUACGGGAGGCAGCAGUGGGGAAUCUUGCACAAUGGAGGAAACUCUGAUGCAGCGAUGCCGCGUGAGUGAAGAAGGCCCUUGGGUUGUAAAGCUCUUUCGUCGGGGAAGAAAAUGACUGUACCCGAAUAAGAAGGUCCGGCUAACUUCGUGCCAGCAGCCGCGGUAAUACGAAGGGACCUAGCGUAGUUCGGAAUUACUGGGCUUAAAGAGUUCGUAGGUGGUUGAAAAAGUUAGUGGUGAAAUCCCAGAGCUUAACUCUGGAACUGCCAUUAAAACUUUUCAGCUAGAGUAUGAUAGAGGAAAGCAGAAUUUCUAGUGUAGAGGUGAAAUUCGUAGAUAUUAGAAAGAAUACCAAUUGCGAAGGCAGCUUUCUGGAUCAUUACUGACACUGAGGAACGAAAGCAUGGGUAGCGAAGAGGAUUAGAUACCCUCGUAGUCCAUGCCGUAAACGAUGUGUGUUAGACGUUGGAAAUUUAUUUUCAGUGUCGCAGGGAAACCGAUAAACACACCGCCUGGGGAGUACGACCGCAAGGUUAAAACUCAAAUGAAUUGACGGGGACCCGCAUAAGUAGUGGAGCAUGUGGUUUAAUUCGAAGAUACGCGCAGAACCUUACCAACACUUGACAUGUUCGUCGCGACUCUAAGAGAUUAGAGUUUUCGGUUCGGCCGGACGAAACACAGGUGCUGCAUGGCUGUCGUCAGCUCGUGUCGUGAGAUGUUGGGUUAAGUCCCGCAACGAGCGCAACCCUCACUUUUAGUUGCCAUCAUUAAGUUGGGCACUCUGAAAGAACUGCCAGUGAUAAGCUGGAGGAAGGUGGGGAUGACGUCAAGUCCUCAUGGCCCUUACGUGUUGGGCUACACACGUGCUACAAUGGUAUCUACAACAGGAAGCAAGACUGCGAAGUUAAGCAAAUCCCUAAAAGAUACCUCAGUUCGGAUUGCACUCUGCAACUCGAGUGCAUGAAGCUGGAAUUACUAGUAAUCGUGGAUCAGCGUGCCACGGUGAAUGCGUUCCCGGGUCUUGUACACACCGCCCGUCACACCAUGGGAGUUGGUUCUACCUUAAGGCAAGGUUUCAAACCCUUGACCACGGUAUAGUCAGCGACUGGGGUGAAGUCGUAACAA